UGAAUCCCAGGCAAUCCUCCCUUGCUGCCGCC
rnacentral:piRNA from 1 species